rnacentral:tRNA from 1 species
AAAAAGAUAAGCUAAUCAAGCUACAGGGCCCAUACCCCUUUUAUGAAAGUUUUAACCUUUCUCUUUUUA